GACGAACGCUGGCGGCGUGCUUAACACAUGCAAGUCGAACGGAAAGGCCCUGCUUUUGUGGGGUGCUCGAGUGGCGAACGGGUGAGUAACACGUGAGUAACCUGCCCUUGACUUUGGGAUAACUUCAGGAAACUGGGGCUAAUACCGGAUAGGAGCUCCUGCUGCAUGGUGGGGGUUGGAAAGUUUCGGCGGUUGGGGAUGGACUCGCGGCUUAUCAGCUUGUUGGUGGGGUAGUGGCUUACCAAGGCUUUGACGGGUAGCCGGCCUGAGAGGGUGAACGGCGACAUUGGGACUGAGAUACGGCCCAGACUCCUACGGGAGGCAGCAGUGGGGAAUAUUGCACAACAGGCGGACGCCUGAUGCAGCAACGCCGCGUGCGGGAUGACGGCCUUCGGGUUGUAAACCGCUGUCGACUGUAACGAAGCGUGAGUGACGGUAAUGGGUAAAAAAGCACCGGCUAACUACGUG
rnacentral:rRNA from 1 species